CGUGGCUAGAUUCGAAAUAUUCAAACCCAAAUUUGUUAACGAUGAAGAAGGCGUCCAGCUUCACCAUUCUGCUCGUCUUGGCAACAUUUGCUUUUUUUCUGCCAAGACGAGAAAACACGGGUCCAUUAUCAGCUAUAGCAUUCGGAUGUCCCGGAGCAAGUGCGGCAAAAAAACUUGUGAGGCAAAAUGCCAUCAAAAAAGAUCCUAGAACACAUCCUGGCCCUGGGGGAAAACAUCAAAACGGUAAAAGACCACUUGGCUAACUUUCACCGAGGGGCGGAUGAGUAAGAUGAUGAGCAAUCUUGGCUGGACGUUAUAAAAAGCCGGAUAAUAGUCAUGAAGUUGCUGAUUUGGCUCACGAGCGUCGCACACCAGAAUACGAGUACUCAAUAAAGACAUAUGAAAUCAU